rnacentral:rRNA from 1 species
CCUACGGGUGGCAGCAGUGAGGAAUAUUGGUCAAUGGACGCGAGUCUGAACCAGCCAUGCCGCGUGCAGGAAGACGGCUCUAUGGGUUGUAAACUGCUUUUGUACGGGAAUAAAUCCCGGUACGUGUAUCGGGUUGAAAGUAUCGUACGAAUAAGGAUCGGCUAACUCCGUGCCAGCAGCCGCGGUAAUACGGAGGAUCCAAGCGUUAUCCGGAUUUAUUGGGUUUAAAGGGUGCGUAGGCGGUUCGUUAAGUCAGAGGUGAAAGCUCGGGGCUCAACUCCGGCACUGCCUUUGAUACUGUCGGGCUAGAGUUUAGUUGCGGCAGGCGGAAUUCCUGGUGUAGCGGUGAAAUGCGUAGAUAUCAGGAGGAACACCGGUGGCGAAGGCGGCCUGCUGGACCGUAACUGACGUUGAGGCUCGAAAGCGUGGGUAGCAAACAGGAUUAGAUACCCGGGUAGUC